AGCUGGACGGGGUCGACGGCGCGGGUCACAACGAGGUAAUCGCGCAUCACGAUGCCGUGACGGUUCUC
rnacentral:sRNA from 14 species